rnacentral:rRNA from 1 species
UACGUAGGGGGCUAGCGUUGUCCGGAAUCAUUGGGCGUAAAGCGCGUGUAGGCGGUCCGGUAAGUCCGCUGUGAAAGUCCGGGGCUCAACCUCGGAUCGGCCGUGGCGACUCGUGGGCUGGAGCACUGUAGAGGCGGGUGGAAUUCCGGGUGUAGCGGUGGAAUGCGUAGAGAUCCGGAAGAACACCAGUGGCGAAGGCGGCCCGCUGGGCAGUGGCUGACGCUGAGGCGCGACAGCGUGGGGAGCAAACAGG